rnacentral:rRNA from 1 species
CCUACGGGAGGCUGCAGUGGGGAAUAUUGCACAAUGGGGGAAACCCUGAUGCAGCGACGCCGCGUGCGGGAAGAAGUAAUUCGUUAUGUAAAGCUCUAUCAGCAGGGAAGAAACUGACGGUACCCGAGUAAGAAUCCCCGGCUAACUACGUGCCAGCAGCCGCGGUAAUACGUAGGGGGCAAGCGUUAUCCGGAUUUACUGGGGGUAAAGGGAGCGUAGACGGCAUGGCAAGUCUGGAGUGAAAGGCGGGGGCUCAACCCCCGGACUGCUCUGGAAACUGUACGGCUGGAGUGCAGGAGAGGUAAGUGGAAGUCAUAGUGUAGCGGUGAAAUGCGUAGAUAUUAGGAGGAACACCAGUGGCGAAGGCGGCUUACUAGACUGUAACUGACGUUGAGGCUCGAAAGCGUGGGGAGCAAACAGGAUUAGAUACCCGAGUAGUC